UCAGUACUACAGGAUUCCCCUAGUAGCGGCGAGCGAAGCGGGAAGAGCUCAAAUUUAUAAUCUGGCACCUUCGGUGUCCGAGUUGUAAUCUCUAGAAAUGUUUUCCGCGUUGGACCGCACACAAGUCUGUUGGAAUACAGCGGCAUAGUGGUGAGACCCCCGUAUAUGGUGCGGACGCCCAGCGCUUUGUGAUACAUUUUCGAAGAGUCGAGUUGUUUGGGAAUGCAGCUCAAAUUGGGUGGUAAAUUCCAUCUAAAGCUAAAUAUUGGCGAGAGACCGAUAGCGAACAAGUACCGUGAGGGAAAGAUGAAAAGCACUUUGGAAAGAGAGUUAACAGUACGUGAAAUUGUUGGAAGGGAAACGCUUGAAGUCAGACUUGCUUGCCGAGCAAUCGGUUUGCAGGCCAGCAUCAGUUUUCCGGGAUGGAUAAUGGUAGAGAGAAGGUAGCAGUUUCGGCUGUGUUAUAGCUCUCUGCUGGAUACAUCUUGGGGGACUGAGGAACGCAGUGUGCCUUUGGCGGGGGUUUCGACCUCUUCACACUUAGGAUGCUGGUGGAAUGGCUUUAAACGACCCGUCUUGA
rnacentral:rRNA from 1 species